UACAGAGGUCUCAAGCGUUGUUCGGAUUCAUUGGGCGUAAAGGGUGCGUAGGUGGCGCCGUAAGUCGGGUGUGAAAUUUCGGAGCUUAACUCCGAAACUGCAUUCGAUACUGCGGUGCUUGAGGACUGGAGAGGAGACUGGAAUUUAUGGUGUAGCAGUGAAAUGCGUAGAGAUCAUAAGGAAGACCAGUGGCGAAGGCGGCACGCUGGACCCGAUCUGACGCUGAGGCGCGAAAGCCAGGGGAGCGAACGGG
rnacentral:rRNA from 1 species